UUCAAUGGUGGUUCAGGUAGGGGAGGCUUCGGCCUCACCGGAAUCUUGACCCGGUAUUGCAAACCCUGUCUGAAUCACCACCAUC
rfam:Xenorhabdus nematophila ATCC 19061 chromosome, complete genome